CUCAUACCCUCACCCCACAAACUCAAAUUCAAUAUCCAGAUCUGUGAGCAUCGAAGAAUCAAGAUCUAAACAAGAUACGGAUAAUCAAAACACGAACACGUCGAGAACUGAAAAUCGAAGAUCCAAGAAUUGGAUGUUUAUAGUGGUGUCAAGUGUGGACUCAUGGGGACUAUUGUUCUGCUGCAGAUAUGGUAGCUCUAUAUAUAGUUGUUUUUAUUGGUUUUAGUUAACCUAGGAUAAUUGUUUAAUUAGUAUGGUUUCACUGAUUUUGGUUGAAUUUGGGGUUAUCUCUAGUAAGUUAAUUGAGUCUAUUUAUUACAAUCAUAUUGUUCAUCUUCCUGUUUUUGAUCUCUUUAAAUACAACAACAUGCUUCUGAUGUGUCCUUUUUGCAUCAUUUGAAGAAGUAAAGAUGGAUCUGCUGGUUUGUUUUUUUAAGCCAUUUAUAUUAAUUACUCCAUCAUCUUUUGUUGACUUGUUUUGUAUUAUGUUCUUGCGCAGCAGGUUUCAUAUGGUGCCUUGAAAAGUUGGAAGGAUGGACUGGAAUCGGAUGCUUGGAUUUGGAAGUUUAUGUUUUUAUUUCAACUUUUAAGACAAUGUUUUGCGUUAUUUGGACAUGUUAUGUGAUAUUUUGGAACAAGGGAUUGUGUUGGAUUGUUGGUUUGUUUUUUUGUUAACAUCAGGUUAUGUGUUAUUUUAGAACAAGGUAAUGUAUUAUUUUAGAACAA